GUACACUCCUGCGGGAGGCAGCAGUGGGGAAUAUUGGACAAUGGGCGCAAGCCUGAUCCAGCCAUGCCGCGUGAGUGAUGAAGGCCCUAGGGUUGUAAAGCUCUUUCACCGGAGAAGAUAAUGACGGUAUCCGGAGAAGAAGCCCCGGCUAACUUCGUGCCAGCAGCCGCGGUAAUACGAAGGGGGCUAGCGUUGUUCGGAAUUACUGGGCGUAAAGCGCACGUAGGCGGAUCGAUCAGUCAGGGGUGAAAUCCCAGGGCUCAACCCUGGAACUGCCUUUGAUACUGUCGAUCUGGAGUAUGGAAGAGGUGAGUGGAAUUCCGAGUGUAGAGGUGAAAUUCGUAGAUAUUCGGAGGAACACCAGUGGCGAAGGCGGCUCACUGGUCCAUUACUGACGCUGAGGUGCGAAAGCGUGGGGAGCAAACAGGAUUAGAUACCCCAGUAGUCCCA
rnacentral:rRNA from 1 species